AGAACAUUGAGGAUGGAGGCUACCUGCCGAUUCAGCAUGGAGUGCCGAUCCCAGUGCUGCUCGAAGGUGUUCCCUAGAGGCGACCAGGCAGGUAGUCCGAGACAGUGCCGCCGCUUCGCUGAGAUCGGCGAACCAUGCAGUGAUGAGGCAGAUCAAGGGUGGCUCUACGUCAACGGAUGUCCCUGCCCGCGUCGGCUACUGUGAAGGGACGGACACUGCAAAGAGGAGUAAGAAAAGGAGCUAAGGUCAGCGCUCAAGUGCUCGGGACUCGGAAAACGAUGCGACUCAGCGCGAAGCUCAAUAAACGGAAAGAAAUAUGACCGC
rnacentral:lncRNA from 1 species